rnacentral:lncRNA from 1 species
GUCUUUUAUUAAGGAUAAUUUAGUUCAUGUAAUAAAACAAGAUAUCGCAGAAAAGUGUUCUCGAUUUUUUUCGUAAAAAAACUACAUCGUCGGCUACGGCAAGUGCAGAGAAUGAUGCACAUAUCCUCGGACAUGUUUCAUCUGAAAUUGAGCCUAGCGGAGCGAUGGCUUCUACAACUGACUAACAACAAAACUGACAACUAAACCACCAUAUCCUGAUAUCGUUUCCUGUGAAAUGAACGACGACGUGCAAAAAACUAAUCUGUAAUAGAGUGUGAUCAUUCCUAGGCUUAUCAGAAAAUUCCAGUUCCUAUCUAGGUCCACAUAUUAAUUUUAUUUUCAAUAAAAGAACAAAGUUCCUAUGUCCCCUGCAUUGCACAUAUUAUAUGUAACCAAUGAACAAGAGCAAUAACUAAUAAAAAUUAAUGUUUUUCCUUUUCCUUUUAUUUUUAAUGGAGAAAUAAAAGCUUUAGAGAAAAUGCAAUGGGAUUUCCAUUUUAAUUUUUAUUUCAAAAGGUCAAAGCUUAGGACUUAUUUUCGAAAUUGUCAUUGCUGAUGAUAUAAAAAUCUGGCAAGAAUUGUACACAUGAGAGUGCAAACAAGACCGGAUGGACGGACACCAGGUUUUUCGAUGAUGUCCCCUGCGACGCGUUAAUGGGGUCACUUCAGUUCCUAUAUUCCGAAGUGCCGUUGUGAUAGGGCCGUUUUUUGAGAAAUGCUAGAAAAGGGGAUCACUUCAGUUCCUUUAUACAGAAGUGCCGCUGUGAUAGGGCCAUUUAUGAGAUGUCAAAUAUUAAGAUUGGUGGGAAACUUUUUCAUCAAAUAAAUAAAUUAUGAAUUUCAUUCAGUUUCGAGAAUUUCGAGAAAACAUUAGAAUUAUGUUUAAAAUAUAAUUAUAUGAAUUGGUGGGUAUUUU